rnacentral:tRNA from 1 species
CGCUAUGGUGAAAUCGGUAGACA